UUCAAUUUUCUUUUUGCUGUAGCAUUUCUUGUUUACUACAACAGGCAAUUGCAAACUCUACUCUUGGGAUUUUUUUUUUCAAAAAAAGUUUACGUUAACGAUACGCAGCUUAUAGCAAUGUAUUUCUUUGUAGUAUUACAAACUGUUUUGUCAAGUAUUAUAUUAAUGAUAUCUGUCGUGCUAAACCAAUUUCAUAUGGAUGUAGAUAUUCACGAUGGUUCUGCGGUUUUAAUAUUUUUUUUAAUAUAAUUGUACCCAUCCCUUCUCAUAAUAUUAGACCGUGUUAAGGUGUCCAAAAUUCCAGAAAUAUUUUGUAUUGUAGUCAUUCUUACAACUAUGAUUACAGUACAACAUCUAUCACUGGAAAUUAUGAAUGUUAAUCAUGAGUUCUUAAAUUUGUCAUUUGAACUGUGUCAUUCUGACAAUGUGACUACGUGACUGUGACUUAAGUGUGACUGUGAUUGUGAUCCUCUAUUGGCCUACGGCGUAAGACCGUUUCACGGAAGAUCUUACACUCAAAGAUGCCUAACUUUUGGAAAGUGAAGAAAUGUUUAUGGUGUGACUAACUGCAGCUGCCUCAAAAAGUAUGAACGCUGUGUCAUAACCGUUUAUUAUUUUUUUUUCUCGUUGUUUUUGUCCUCUUUGUGCAUCUUGCUGCCCAGGUCGAUGUCUUCCAGUCAUCCACAGUCCCCAGUACAUCUUAGAUUACACAGGCCUGUCUGCCUCCUGGCAUUGUCGUCUGCUUGACAUUUUCUACAAGUUUUUUCUACUACUUUUUGCCGUCAACGUAAUUUCUACCAUAACUAAGCUGUCUUCAGCUGAAGAUGAGAGUUUCUCAAGAAUAAAAAUGCUUAUACUAUAAUACAACAAUGUCAUGGCGAUACUUUUUUCUAACAUUCCUAGCAAAAAAUUUCGGCGCAAUAUGCAAGUGACAAAAAAUCUGCUUUGUGAAAAAGUCACCAACUUUACCAUAUAAAUUUUACAAAGACAACCACAAGUAAGAGAAACCAUUUCGGUAGUUUGAGAAAAGAAAUGCUUAAUUUGGCCACCUUCCAAAAUAAAUUAGUUGUGGCAAAUUAAAAAUUGUGGAAUAAUUUAACUUUUAUCCUGUCUGUAAAGAAUUUUGUCUCUGGCUCUUUUGUUGUGAGCAACACUAAGUGUAUUAUGUAUUUUUUGGUUUAUAGUUUUCUUUUUUCUUUAUUUUUUGUUUUUUGUUCGUUCUUUCCUUUUGCUUAUUUUAUUUUUGUUCAUUCAUUUGCUCUGUUUUUUUCUUGUUUGUUUGUUUCUUUUUUUCUGUUCUUUCCUUUUUCUUUUUUUAUUUAUUGAUUCCUUUUUUUAAUCCUUGUUAUCAAUUUUUUUUCCUUAUCAGGAGUAAUUCUCCAAGUGGUAAGAUCCAAGUGUUCUACAAACAUCUAGCGGUAAUAAAAAAAAAAUUGCAGCGAUAACACAUGGUUUUAAUAUGUUUCCUGUCAGUAUAUCCUAAAAUGCAAGGAAUUUACAAUGUUAGAAUCUUGUCCUGACCCGGGCUGUGAACGACGAUGACAGCUUGUAUCAGUCUGUUCUCUGUCUUUUCAGACUCAGUGCGAACGGGUCAGCGAGCGAGGCAUCCUUCAGCAUUACGUCAUCAAUCACGACCACCCUACCUUGCCGAGUGUCCACAGGGUGAACGAACCUCUUCGAAAUCAUCACGACUUUCACAGAGCAUUCAGCUGUGGAAAAUUCAAAGACACAUGUGAUCUUUUCUAAUUGUCUGUAAGAUGAUUAUGUCGUUAUAAAAUUAUGCCAACUGUUCACAGAUUUGUUAUUAAAAGAUGCCAUAUAUUUUUUGACAGAGGAUAUCUGUGAUAUGUUGCGUUUUGCAGCAGAUUUCUGAUUUCUGAAUGUGGCACUACAUCGUCUGUAUCACUGGUGUGUACGUGUGAUUGUGCGGGCGACUGUGAGAGAGAGAGGGAAGGAGAGAAAAAAGAACGCAUAAAUGUCUUUGUGCAUGCGCCUUCCUGAUAUUGCCUGUGUACGAAAGUUGUAUCAAUUUGUUUCAGUAAAUUGUCCUGUAUGUUUAUUAUUAGAACUUGCAAUAAUUCACUGUCAUAAACCAGAGCACCUUCCUGAUUUGUAAAACCUCCACUUUGAUCGUUGAGAAUCCAGUAUUCCCAGAUAAACACUAAUUAAACAUGUUUGUUGUUCUGCAUUUGGACCGCGCAAAAGACUACUUUUAAAAGUGACAACAACUGUACAUCCCUCACAUGAUUCAAAUAUUUGUGACUUGGACUCUGAGGCUGAGCUCUGACAAGGGAAGCAUCAUCUGGUGCAGAACAGCAACUGAAGAACAGUGCAACAUCAGUCACAGGUAAAAAUUGUUGGUGUCCCGACCAAAUACAGGUAAACUGGUUUAACAGGCUGUUUACCAGCUACUGUUUCAAGUUAAAAACUGGCUUGCAAUGUAUAAAGCAGUUAGAUUGGAAUAUAUGAUUUCUUGUAUGUUAUUGUUACCAGGGAUACGGCAUCUCUUGCUGUGUUUGUAUCCAAAUCCUUGUAACUGGAGAAACAUCCGGGUACGUGCAGCAAGAUGAUGUGUCUGUGCGCAGAUCGAAAUACAUGGCAGAUGUACAGCCACUCCUUGCCAGCAUCUCUCCAACAGCCAUCAAACACAAUUUUUAGGGUGGGGACAUGAAGAGGUCUAUAGUCCAUCACUAGGGUAGCUUUGAUGGAAAUUCCUUCUGCUACAGAAGAGUGUCUGAAGGCGCGAUUGGUAACAUAACAAGUUGAGAGCCUGUGACUUUUGCACUACCAACUUGUAAUUUUUUCAUCCAAAUAAUUGGAGAAUAAUUUUACAGGAGAGUUGUAUGAACUGUUUAAGAAUUAUUUUUCCUAUAUCGGAGCAACGAUGUUUUAUACGAGACAACAACAUUUAUCCCUUUUGUCUACAUUCUAUAGCAGAAAGGAACCGAUAUGAAAUCGGAGACGGUAAUAUAAAAAUGUUGCAAAAAUCUUUUAUUUAAAGUUGAAAUGAAAACUGAAACUUUUACGAAAUGUAAUUAACAUAGACUUGUGACAUUUGAUCGAGAAAUGACAAUUUGUAAGUUUGUUAUGCGACUCUGAAACAACUGCUCCACCAUAAACAUAUUUAACAGAAAUGCUAAAGGACUGACUACACACUAGGAUGUUAUUGAAGCAGGAUACUAGCAUCAUCAAUUCAGCUUUAAUCAGAAGACAUGGGUUAUGAAACAGAUUUCAUUGUUGAAAGGACUUACUGUAUAAGCCAGAAAUUUAUACAAAUUACUUGUCUUUACAAGCAACUAUCUUUUGGAGAAAAGUUUAAAAUUAAAUAAUCCAUGCAAAGAAAAGUCAAUCUGUCCUGCAUUCCGCAAUUAAUUUUAUCUGGCCACGUGUGGGUCUUCUCUUGCCCAGUUCAUUUCUAUAAUGCAUUACUUGCCAUUGUCUAUGAUUUUUAAGGAUUGUUAUCAUGUAAUAAUGUGAACGGUUUCGUACUCAAGCAGGAAUGAUAAUGCUCAUAGCAAUACUGUUUCCAUAUCAGUCGCAAUUUUUAAAAAGAAAGUGGAGUUGUAUGAAAAGAAUGUUGAGUGUAUUCAUGUGAGAGUAUCAUGGUAGUAGAGAGCUAGUUCGCUCUUCACAUGGAACUUGCCAGAAUGACCGCUCACGAAGAAUGGUGUCAAAAUUAUCACAAAAAUUAAACCUAUAAAAAGAAGAAACAUUUGGAUGAAAGUUUAAAAUCUUCCACAUCUUGAUUUACUUCUCUCUAUCUCUUUGUGUGUGUGAGAGAGAGAACGAGAAGAGUGUGUCUGAGAGAGAGUUUGUUUGUUUAGGAAAGUGCGUUUUGUAUUCGUAAGUGGCUAGCUGGCAAAAGAUUGUGCAAGUUGGGUGUAUGUCCAGAUAGGAGGCGGAAGGAUUUGAUAAGUAAAUGUGUAUGCAUAAAAAUGUGCGCAUUCUUUGAUUGUUGAGAAAUCAACUAGAAAAUAUAUAUGUGUCAAUGAUGAUAGCAAAUAUUCUAACAAAAAAUUAAAACAAGACAUUUGUAAAGAUCUUUUACAAAAUUAUAUGUCGGGAGAUCAAUAACAAAUAAAGCUUAAGAUGUUCAUGUAGUAUGUCAUCCCUAUGAGACUUGUGAUUCGCGGAACCCAGAGACAAAGAGAGGAAAAGGACUAAACCAAAUGUCAUUUAUCCAAAUAUGAUCUAAUCUCUCACAUUAACAAUCGUUUUGACAAUAUCAGUGAAGUGUAGGGUAAACAAGAAGACUAGAAUCAAGAAAAAGUAUUAUUAAAAUCACAAUUAUUUAUUCAUUAAUCUUGCUGUGGUACCAUGGGUUUAUGUGACCCCAGUCCUCUUUUGCUCAUUUGUUGAAAUGUCACGAUGAGGGACCUUGCCUUUCACCUAUUUUUUCUGAAGGUCUUGUGUUUGCUAGUUUAGUGGACUUCUUAUGUAUUAGAGGUAUUUUCUUUUAUUUCAAGAUUCACCUCUGGGUUUUGGGUCUGUUUUUUUUUUCACUAAGAAUAUUCUUUGAACAAUAAAGAAAGACAAACGACGAACAUUCUUGAAGACAAGAAAAGUACAUUCAUUUGUAAUGAGUGAAAUGAGUUAAUGUGCAAAAUAAAUAGCAAAUAAAACCAGCAUGUAAGUUAGGCCUAUAGUGAUGGGAAAUAUUAAAUGGGUUCUCUCAUUUAAGAAGUGUUGUGCAAUGUUAUUUGGAUUUUCUAAUGCAUUGUCUUAUAUUACUGCUUGGAAAAUGUUGAAAUAAAUUGUAUAUAUUCUGGAAAUGAAUAUUUUUUUUACAAUGGGGUCAAAUUGAUCCCAUGGUGCUAUCAACAUAACUUUAGUCAUGGUACCAGAGCAGGGUUAAUGUUGUAAAUGUGUCUGAGGCACGCUGGAAAAACCUACAUAAUAAUACUUGUUAUUUAAAAAUGUAUCUUUUAUAAUAUUUGACCAAACUCCUGCAGCGCAUAUCUAACAUAGCAAAAGUAAUUUCUAAGGAGUUAAAAGCACUGCUGACAUAAGUAACAAGUAAAACCAUAACCAAAGAAAAUGAUUUUUAUAAUUGUUCAGUAUUUUUCUAACAUUUGUAGCAUUACCCCAGUUGAUCUUGCUUUACCGCUACGACUCUCAUUUGUAAUAAAUGCACGACCUCUCAACUCAGUCUACAAGGCCGCUACCCCGUGGUUAGUCUUAAAGGCGAACUUGGGAGAAUAUUUACCAUGCGUGAGGUAGUCACUCGAAUGGAGAAAAAGACAAGUAUUGUUGGAACCUGCAUUGUAGCAAGUGGCUAAACCUAAAAGAAAUAUUCACACUGAUGUUUGUAUCCAUGUGCUUUUUUAUUAUGAAGAACAUCCAUUUGCUAAAUGUUUUUGAAAGUGUCAAUCAUUUUGUUUGUUUUUUUAAUCUACCUUCACUUGGAAGGUUCAUUAGAAUUGUUUUAUUUUCGAGAACAGGUGUGGACACUGAUAAAAGAAGAAAACGAUUUUUGAUGUGCAUGAAUGUACAAUAGGGUUCUUUCUGGUUAUCGGAAGACUGUAAACGAUUAGCAUGUGAUAACGCAUUUUUGUUGUUAUUUAUUGUUUUGACCAUUAAAGCUGACAAAGCUGC